UACGGGAGGCAGCAGUGGGGAAUAUUGCACAAUGGGCGCAAGCCUGAUGCAGCCAUGCCGCGUGUAUGAAGAAGGCCUUAGGGUUGUAAAGUACUUUUCAUCGGGGAGGAAAAAACAAAAACUAAUAAUUUUAUUUCUUGACGUUACCCGAAAAAGAAGCACCGGCUAACUCCGUGCCAGCAGCCGCGGUAAUACGGAGGGUGCUAGCGUUAAUCAGAAUUACUGGGCGUAAAGAGCACGUAGGUGGUUUUUUUUAAAGUUCAGAUGUGAAAUCCCUGGGCUUAACCUAGGAACUGCAUUUUGAAACUGAAAUACUAGAGUAUCGUAGAGGGAGGUAGAAUUCUAGGUGUAGCGGUGAAAUGCGUAGAUAUCUGGAGGAAUACCUGUGGCGAAAGCGGCCUCCUAAACGAAUACUGACACUGAGGUGCGAAAGCGUGGGGAGCAAACAGGGAUUAGAUACC
rnacentral:rRNA from 1 species